rnacentral:lncRNA from 1 species
GAGAAUUGCUUUAUGGCCAAAUGUGUGGUUAGUUUUAGAGUAUGUCACGUGCAAGUAAGAUGAAUGUAUAUUCUGUUGUUGCUGAGUAGAGUGUUUUGUAGAUGUCUGUUAGGUCUAUUUUAUCAAGUGCUGAGUUUAGGUCCAAAUAUCUUUGUUAGUUUUCUGUCUCAAUAAUCUGUCUAAUACUGUUGGUGUGGUGUCAAAAUCUCCUACUUUAGGAGAUACACCUAAUGCUAUAUGACGAGUUAAUGGGUACAGCACACCAACAUGGCACAUGUAUACAUAUGUAACACACCUGCAUGUUGUGCACAUGUACCCUAAACCUUCAAGUAUAAUAAUAAUAAAAUUAAAUUAAAUUAAAAAGAUAGUAAAAUUUUUAAAAAAUGCUUUCUAAAAAAGAAAUAAAGCAAAGGAAUAGGACUUGCUUCUUUCUUUUAUUUCAGAUAUGCUGAGCUGCAGAAGGUACAGGAUCUCUCUUCAACCGCGUAACAAUGUUUUAGGGUAGAUCCUGCACUUCAAAGAAACUUCUUCAGUAUUGCGAGGGGCAAUAAGUUUUGUAAUGGGUUAAACUGUAAGGAAAUCAUUGUAACCACCAUCUCAGUCACAUUCUCCACUUAUAAUCACCAUCUGUCUGACACCCGUGUGUAUCUUUUUACUGGACUAAACCCAAGAAAGGAAUUAACAGGUAUGAUCUAUUAGGUCUCUAAAACCUAGGAAAUAUUAGUAGAGUGUGGUUCUGGAGUAAACUUCUUAUUCUGGUUUUGGGCUAAUUUGAUACUAAGUUUUUGUUGUUUUUCUUAUUACCAAUCUGAUCCUUCCUCAUUAUUAAAUGUCUUCCAUGCUCCACCCUGUUUCUAUUUCAGGUAUGUCGCUGUCUGCAUAAUAUGCAAACCUAACACUUGAGUGCUGAUCAUGUAAAAGAUACGGUAAGUUUACAAGUACCAUUGAAUUUAAAUAAAAUUUAAAUUCAAAUCAACCAUAUAAUAUAGGUACUUUUAUUUUUCCAAUGUAAACAAUUUACCAAGCUUAAGGAACUUCAAUAGCCAUUAUGAGAUCAUAUAUCUGGAAGAUGGUAGAACUGAAGUUCAAACCCAGUUUUAGAUAAUUCUAAAUCCCAUGGUUUUGAAAUGUUUCAGGUUAAAUAAUCCUGACAAAAAUCCAGUUAAUUCUACAGAUGUAAUAGUUAUUUGUUGUAUUAUUUAAAUAGUUGAACAACUACCUAAUAACUAUUUGUAAUGUGCCAG